AUGAACAUGCUUCCUGACACCUGCUCGGUCCUGGUGCUCCUGUUAAUGCUCAAGAGUAGCAAUGGAGACUCAGUGUCCCAGACAGAAGGCCUGGUUACUGUCACAGAGGGGUCACUUGUGAUGCUGAACUGCACCUAUCAGACUACUUACUCAAGUUCUUUCCCUUUGUGGUACGUGCAAUAUCCCAACAAAGCCCCUCAGCGACUUCUGUGGAGCACCACAGACAACAAGAGGACAGAGCACCAAGGGUUCCAUGCCACUCUCCAUAAGAGCAACAGCUCCUUCCACCUGCAGAAGCCCUCAGUGCAGCUGUCGGACUCUGCCCUGUACUACUGUGCUGUGGGUGACACAGUGAAGGAGACUACAGGGGAAGCUGCACACAAACCAAGGGGGCUGAGGGCCGAGGGGAGUGGCCCUGUGAGGGAGGGCCGGGGUAUUUUCCUGGAAGUACAACACCCUCAUCUGCAUCUCCAGUGCCUCCUGAAGCUCACACCAGGAAGUCAGUCUGUCACAGUUAUGACAGACAUUCAAACUGAGUGUGAGAAGGACGGAAACUCCUUCUACCGGAGGAUCCUCUCACUAUGGGACUGA